rnacentral:rRNA from 1 species
UUCGGCUACAUUUUAGCGUACCUUUUGCAUUAUGGGUUGGUGAGUUAAUAAACGUGAGAUAGGCGAAAAGCUUACUGAGAUUAAAUUAU